UACAUGGGGUGCAAACGUUGCUCGGAAUUAUUGGGCGUAAAGCGCACGUAGGCGGUUCGUUAAGUCGGAUGUGAAAGCCCUCGGCUCAACUGAGGAAGUGCACCCGAAACUGGCGAGCUUGAGUACGAAAGAGGAUCGCGGAAUUCCCGGUGUAGAGGUGAAAUUCGUAGAUAUUCGGAAGAACACCAGUGGCGAAGGCGACAUACUGGUCCGUUACUGACGCUGAGGCUCGAAAGCGUGGGGAGCAAACAGG
rnacentral:rRNA from 1 species